GGAUUGUGGCUCAGUGGUAGAGCGCUUGCCUAGCAUGUGUGAAGCACUGGGUUCAAUCCCCGGCACCA
rnacentral:tRNA from 1 species